AGGUGUUGGGGCCCACGCACUCCCCGCCGUUCACGCACUUCUGCAGACAGCUGGCUGCAGGAAAGGGAAACACAAACAGCCGAGCGUCAGGACGGCACGUGACUUCAGUGUGGCGUCUGAAUCUAAAAGACACUCUCUUGUAUGCGUGUGCUGCCUGUGGGCGUGGUCACGUCAGAACCAGCAGAUGAUUGGGAGAUGAGAUGCAGGUGUGGACACUCGGAUCACGUGAUGAGCGUCAGGUGUUGAGAGUGGAUAAAUGACAGGCCAGGACACGCUGGGGAAACUCAAACCUCCGCUCCCUUGAUCCGCUAAUGGAGACAAACUGAAGUGAGGAGGGACGGUGUGACCACAGUGACAGGCUGCACACACACACGUCGAUGAGAGACCGACAGCGGUCGUUUGGUACCUUGGUUCACAGACCAGGUGAAUUUGGACUUGGCCGGGUCACAGAGCAGA